AGAAGCCAAAAUUCUUCUUCGUGCACGAACCAGGAGCGCCGGAAAAAUAGGAAAAGAAAGGUGAACUUUGGGCUGAGUAAUGGGCACCUUUAAGGCCCAUUUUUUUUGGAACGUUUGGGUCUCUAAACCAAUCUCUUGUGCACAUGAGGUUACAAAGACAGAAGGGAGAGUUAAAUAGGGAAAACUUAGACCUAGGAAGGGAGACAUCUUAACCUAGAAAAGAGAGGAGAUAACGACAAAGAUAGAAAGAAGGAAGACCGAAAGAGAUAAAAAGGAAGACCGAAAGAGAUAAGAAGGGAGACCGUUGUCACGACGGAAAGGUUUUCGUCAAGGAAUCAUAGUAGACGCUUGUUGGAAUCCCAGGUAAGGGGAAACUAACUUUGCUUGCUUUGUUGGUGUGUAGGGAUGAUAACCAUGAAGUGAAUGAAUGUAAUUUUGGUGCUGUGAUAUUUGUACUAUGUUGUUGUUUCGAUAAUUCUUAUGUGUUGGUUAUUCAUGCUGUUUUGGGAUUACUUUUGGUGUGAGAAACUAUGAGUACACUUAAGGGUUGGGGUUCCAUUCGUGGAGUUCGGAAAAGGAAAAGGGUGGGCUGUGACCCUAAACUGUGUUUGGGUUGUGACGCUUGAGAUUAGGCGGAGGUAGCUUUUGGGAGUAUAUGGAGUGUUUUUACAUGAGCGAGAGAGAGUUACGACUAAAAGAGGAGGAAUAUGGGGUAUUGGUUAUGUAAUGGGAGAGGGAGAGAAUGUAUUAAAAAGGAAAUGGAAAUUAUAUAAAAAGGGAGGGAGAGAUUUAAUAAUAUGGAUGCAGUGGGUGGUCUUGAAUUCACGUGAAAGAGAGAAAGGAGUUUUGGAGAGAGAAAAAGAAAAAGGGUUUAGCUUACUUGAUGUUUGGUUUGCAUGGGUUUCAUGAGAGAGAAAUUGUUUAGAAUACGUGAGAAAUUAUACCGUAGAAAAGGUUACUAGAAAGAGAACAACACCACUUACUCUAUUAGGUUGUUGUGAUUAAAUUUUUAUUUCAUGGAUGUUGCAUCCUUGUUCAUGCGUAAUAAUAAAAGUGUCUUGGUUCUUGAAUUUCUCUUUGAUUUAAAGGAUGGUGGAAAACAUAUACUUGCCCGGUGAAGCUCCUGGAAGUGUGGUGGAAGUAGCACUGGUACUUGCCCGGUGAAGCUCUCUGAGAAUAGAGUGGUGGGAGGUGUAUACUUGUCCGGUGAAGCCCAAGAGGGUGGUGGAAAGUAAAUACUUGCCCGAGGAAGCUCUAAGAGAGUGGUGGGAAGUGGUGUACUUGUCGGUGAAGCCUUCCAAAGAGUGAUGGGAGAUGUUAUUAUGUAAUAGUGUUGUAAAGUGUACUGGCCUGGUGAAGCUCUUUAAGAGAGUGGUGGGGAGUGACACUUGACCUUUUGUUGUGUACGAGUAACCGAUGGCGAUUCAAUGCAUAGUGAAUGGUUGCAAUUAAAUUGGGGAAGGAGUUAGUGAAUGACCGAAUGAGGUUGGGUGUGAAUUGGUUACUUUGAUGAAAGCCUUUUGUGGUUAUAUAUGCUGGUGAAUGGGAAUUCUGAUAGUGCGGACGUUAAUGAUUUGGUGUGUUGUCAUGUAAAGUGUGUGUGUAGGAGUGUUAUGAUAUGUACUAUUCGUAUAUCUUAUUAUAAGUUGAUGUUGCAUACUUAUGUAUGUUAUAUGAUUUUUUUUUAUGUUAGCUAACCCUUGCAUGUUUGUGGUUGUGGUUUCCACCUACGAUGAUCGUACUUGUACGGGAGUAGAUGUUGUACAGAUAUAGAUAAAACGAAGUUGAGCAGCGAGAUACAUGGGAGAACUUUAGGAUUUUGAUUUCAAAGCUAAUAGCUUUGUAAUAGAAUUUUUGUGAAAUCCUUAUAGUUGUAUUUGAUUUAUAUAAUUUUC
rnacentral:lncRNA from 1 species